GAUGAACGCUGGCGGCGUGCUUAACACAUGCAAGUCGAACGGAAAGGCCCAAGCUUGCUUGGGUACUCGAGUGGCGAACGGGUGAGUAACACGUGGGUGAUCUGCCCUGCACUUCGGGAUAAGCCUGGGAAACUGGGUCUAAUACCGGAUAGGACCACUUCUUGGAUGUUAUGGUGGAAAGUUUUUUCGGUGUGGGAUGAGCUCGCGGCCUAUCAGCUUGUUGGUGGGGUAAUGGCCUACCAAGGCGUCGACGGGUAGCCGGCCUGAGAGGGUGUACGGCCACAUUGGGACUGAGAUACGGCCCAGACUCCUACGGGAGGCAGCAGUGGGGAAUAUUGCACAAUGGGCGCAAGCCUGAUGCAGCGACGCCGCGUGGGGGAUGACGGCCUUCGGGUUGUAAACUCCUUUCGCUAGGGACGAAGCGUUUUGUGACGGUACCUGGAGAAGAAGCACCGGCUAACUACGUG
rnacentral:rRNA from 1 species